UUGUAACAAUAGAAAAUAAAGAAAUCAAAUACAAUUGGAACAAUACAGAGAAGGUUAGCAUGGCCUUUGCACAAGGGUGACAUGCACAUUCAUGAAGCAUUCCAUAUUUAA